AUGGGACUCGAUCCCAGGUCUCCAAAGGUGACCAGGGCCAAAGGUGGCGCUAAGCUGCUGAGCCAGCUGGGCUGCCCUUCAGUUAAUAUUUUUAACAGAAGGAACAUCCAGCUAAUAGUCCCCAGUGAGGAUGAAGAACUGCCAAGAUCAGCCCGCACACCUCAGCCCACUGCAUCUUCUAUGGGUUUAGAGUCAUCAAGGAGGCCUCAAAACACAAAGGUUGGAACAAUGCUUUACUCACAGAAAGAAAAGACGCAGCACAAUCAGCAUAUGUAGUGUGCAUCAGUCUCCUGUGGACAGUGGGUCCCUCCUGAUAGCCAGCAUGAGGUGAGGGAGUGCAGUUGCCCCUCUCAUGCUACAAGCUAAUAUCCCUUUACCGUGAAACAAGGGAGGGCAGAUAUACUGGUGGGGCUGGCCAGGUGCCAUAUAGUACACACACAUACACACACACAGACACGAACAAUACAAGGAAGUUCACCAUAGCUAGAACUAGUGAAUGAUUUUUCCUAAUAAGGAAGAAAAUCUGGGGACAAGCAACACAGAGCUCCAACACCCAUUUUCUGCACAGGGGAAUGUUCCAGGCCUAGAAUGCUGAUUGCACAAUCCUGGAGAGGGACAGCAAGUCUUCUGACAGCUGCUUCCCCAACAGUUGUCCUAAUAAAUUACUGCAAACUUUGUAACUGAAAACA
rnacentral:lncRNA from 12 species